rnacentral:rRNA from 1 species
UACGUAGGGAGCAAGCGUUGUCCGGAAUCAUUGGGCGUAAAGCGCACGUAGGCGGUUUGUUAUGUCGGAUGUGAAAGCCCUUGGCUCAACUGAGGAAGUGCAUCCGAAACUGGCAAGCUAGAGUACUAAAGAGGAUCGCGGAAUUCCCGGUGUAGAGGUGAAAUUCGUAGAUAUCGGGAGGAACACCGGUGGCGAAGGCGGCGAUCUGGGUAGAUACUGACGCUGAGGUGCGAAAGCGUGGGGAGCAAACAGG